rfam:Ciona intestinalis ciona2182, whole genome shotgun sequence.
GACCCUGUGGCCUAAUGGAUAAGGCGUCAGCCUCCGGAGCUGAAGAUUGUGGGUUCGAGUCCCAUCAGGGUCG